AUACAAUGGGUUGAUCUGUAGAAUGGAGUGAGCUGGACAAUGGGGCUACUCACCCCACCCACCUUGCAAAGUGAUGCAGGACAGGAAAUGGGUUAAUAGAAGCUCGGAUUUAGAAGAGUGCCUGGCACGCCUAAGGUGUCCAUCAGAAGGCCCCUGCUGAGUAGUUGGCAGGGUGGCUGCACAUAAUGGAAAGCACAUAAGCUUGAAGCCAGACAGAUGGGAGUUCUAACCCCAGCCCUGCCACUUAUUCCCAGGUGACACUGAGUGGAAAUUAGGCCAAAAUAAAUACUACUUUCUGCUUAAAAAAAUGCAGUGAUGUCCAAAGAGAAGGGAGGAGGAAGGAUGAAAGGAAAGACAGAGGAGGAAGGAAGAGAAGAAAGAAGAGUGGCCGGCACAAGGGCUUGGAGAUCCCUGAAGCUGUUUUCCUUUCUCCUCACCCCCACAGGGAGGGAUCCACAUCGUUGUGGGGUUUUUGUUGUUGUUGUUUUUGUUUUUGUUUUUUUGCCUCCCUUCAUCAAAGCAUUCAUUGUAGUGUAUGGUAAUUGUCUCUGAAUGUAACAGCCUCUCUUCCCUGAGGCCUGGGUCUGCUUGUUUCAUACCAUCUUCUCCUUAACACACAGUGCUUGGUAAACAAUACCUAUUAAUAAAC
rnacentral:lncRNA from 1 species